ACCUCAGCCUCCCAAAGUGCUGGAAUUACAGGCGUAAGCCACCACGCCCGGCCUAGAUACACUUUUCAAUGAGAGAGUUGUAUAAUUGAUACUGAAUUUCAGGAAGAUGGGCAGAUUUUUUAUUGAAAUAUAAGCUUCCAAUAAAUCAAAAUGAGAUUUUAAAAAAAGAGUAAAUGCAAACAACAGUAUCCCACUGUCAGGUUCUCAAACGCCGUUUUGAUGGGAUAAAUCCUCCUCAGUAAGGACAGUAGCAGUUUUUCGUUAAACCGUACAUCACUAGCCUGAGAACAAGUCUCGGUUAUCACAGUCGACUCAUGUGGUGAUUGGGAAUUCUUUCAGGGCAACAGGCAAUGUGUUAAAUGGGCACUGUUGAGGACACUGUGCAAAGUUAUGAAAUUCUCUCUUUCCCUCCUGACAUUUUUCUCCAAAUACUUCAGUGGCUACUCCAGAAGCAAAGGAAUAGAGAAAAGAAUGAAAUCAGAACUAGUGAGUGGACUUGGUUUACUGUAAGAUCACUGAUAAAAGUCUGAAACAAAAGGAUAAAACCAAAAAUGAAAUCUAUAUAUAAUAAUUGACUUUUAGUGAGAAAGGAGAUUUUAGAGACAUGCUACUCCAAAUGUUUGUUAUAGAUAAGGAAAUUGAAGCCCAAAGAGGUCAUGGGUUGCCCAAGUACUGCAGCUGGUUAUGACAUGGUUGGGACUAGAGCCCAAAUAUCCACUCUGGUAAUCUAGUUUCUACUUCUCUUGCCAGUGGAACUAUUCACAUUUCUCCUUAUAGAACCAAUUCUCUGUUGUUAGGAAACAGGGACUCCCCAAGUCUUCAGAAUUCAGGGUUAGCUCUUUUAAACACUGGAUAAGAACAGAGAAAUGUAAAGAAAUGCCAAGAAACAACUUCCCACUCGGCAGGGCCCCACAUGUUCCAACUCCACAAGGACCAACCGCACCUGCCGCCACUCUCCCCCUUGCUAACUCCACUCCAGCCACACUGGCCCCUCUCUCAUCUCCAACAAGCCACUUCCAAGCUGAGGGCCUGGACACCAGCAGAUCCUUUAUUUGGCCUCUUUUUCACCCAGAUCACCCCUUUUCAUCACUCAGGUCUCUGUUCAAGUGCACUUCCUCUAAGAAGUCCUUCCCAACCACCCUAACGACCAACUCUUCCUGUCACUUGGAUACCCAGGUAGCUCCACAACUUGGUGCUGGGAAAUCCUUUCAUUUACAUUUUUAUAAAACUGAAGGGAAAAGACAGAAAACCUGUUGGCAUCUAUCCCAAGAAUAUCUCCUGGGCACUUCUAAGUAAAGGUCACUGCCAACAACAAAAAAAUAACCAACUUUCAACCUACUCAAGACAUGUAAGAAUUCAAGACCAAAUCUGAAUGCAUCCCAGAGUUACCUGAUUCUGCCAGCAGAAGCCCUGCAGUGCUGAAUUUCUGGGCAUGUGAAUGAUAUAUUGUUGCACUGAAACAUUCAUUUUCCAAGAUUCCUUUCCAAAUUCAACUCCAUGGUUUUUUUUGUUUUUUGUUUUUUGUUUUCUAAAGGGCAAAAUACUAACCUGUUCCCAAGCUAUUCAGCAAUAUUUUGGCACAGGUAAUCCAUUAAGAGAAUUGUUUGUAUAGAACAGAGCUGGUGUCAAUAACAGGGCGCCCCAACCUGCCCCUCUUUCUAAGCUCUUCACCUAUAGACAACGGCCCAGCUAUUGACAUUUAAUUCUUACCAGAUGGCUGUUCUAUUGCAGCUCAAAGACUUAGCUGCAUAUGAUUAAGUCAACACACAACACUGGGUGCAACAUUUAAGCCCACAUUUAAGCAAAGUGAAGAGCUUGAGAUCAUCUAAAUGGGAGAAGGAGCAAGGGAAAACUCACUAUCCACUGUAUCUUUGUUACCUUUGGCAAAUUCUCAAGGGUAGGGAGUCAGGACUGCCAGUGCCUGGCACUGUGCCUGACACAUUACAAACAGGUGCUUAGUAAAUAAUGAUUUCAUUAUUGAAUAAAUGCCUAAGCCUUGGGAAAGCCCACCUUGCCCAGAGCCACUCACAGUGCAUGUCAACUCCAUCUAUAGGAAGUGUGUUGUGAAUUCAAGGUGUUGCUCUUUGUCCCUGGAUGCACAGUGGGUGACCGUGAGCUCUGAGGACUGCCUUUUUUCUCACUCCCGCAAUGCUUUGCACGGGUGCCCAGUUCACAAAGGCAGCUGCAGCUGACUGUCCAACUGCCUGGUUCUAAUUUAUGUGGAGAGAGGCCUCCGCUCAACAAACUGAAAUAAUUCGUUCUUCUAAUCUUCCGUAUUUUAAUAAAUAAAUGAAAGAUGGAGAAAGAUUCACGUGUACUCUGUCCUGACGAAACAGUAGAGCUCUUUGGAAAAUCAUGAAAUUUUUACUGUGCAAAGCAGUAAGAUACAAGCAAUGAAACUCAAAAGCAUUUUCCCAAGUAUUCAGAGGCCAGAUCUGCCCCCAGAUCUGUAAAUCCUAUGUAAUCUAGGCUAAAAAAAAAACCAAAAAAAA